ensembl:lncRNA
UUCUGAUGUUCUGUCUACAUCAUAACUCUUCCUCAGGUUCCCAUUCCUUUAAACAGUUGGAAUAAGUCUGGUUCACCAAGGUGCACUGAGAAGUCCUGUUAAACAUAAUAUCACUUGCUGAGGGACACAGAUGAAGAAGUCCAAGCAAGUCCUGAUCAAGGAUUGAGAAAUCCUUUGUCUGGAGAACACAGAUGGACAAGUCCUGGGCAGGGGUUGCGAAAUCUUUUGUCUGAGGGACACAGAUGGACAAGGAUGGGAGAGAGAGACAGAGAGAGAGAGAGAGACGGAGUGAGAUAAGCCAGAUCUUAAUAGCCAGGAAGCAGUCUUUUUUAUGGGUUUAUCUCGAGGGAGAUAAUAGCCAUCUCAGGGCGUGCUGCACAUGACUGUUACCCAAGCACCUAGGAAUGCCAUAUUUGCAGAAGAAGGAUAAAAAAGGGACUAACAACCAUGGGUUUAGGAUUCUGGCAACAGAUUCCUCAUGCUGAAGAAGAGAGAGGGUUUCUGACAACAGAUUCCUCAUGAAGAAGAGGUUUCUGACAACAGGUUCCUCACGACCUGAGACCUGCAUGCUGAAGAAGAACAAGAAGGUUUCUGACAUGAGAGGCCUCACAACCUGCCUCUCCCUCCGGACUUGCUCUGCGCUCUACCUGCUUGCUGCCUAAGGCCAGCCACCCUACUGCUGCUCUCCUCCCCCCCAACCCCCCCGCCCCAAGAAGGUGUCUGCCAUCAGAUCCCUCACUGUGGAAGGCCUGCAUGCUGACAGACUCUCCAGGGCCUGCUACUGGAGGCCUGCUGCUUCCUCCUGGACUUCUUCCUGGACCUACUCAGUACCUGCACCUUCUUGCUGCCCAAGACUGGCCAUGCUGCUGCUUCUCUUCCCCUGUGCUUUUGCUCCUGACCGUCAGAACAUUGUGCAGCGGGACCGCUGCUGGAUCCUGG